GGCUGAUGACGACACCACUGCUCCGAGGCGGGGUGGCUCCCGUCAGUGACGAGCCCUAUGAGUGCCGAGGCC
rnacentral:snoRNA from 1 species